GACGAACGCUGGCGGCGUGCUUAACACAUGCAAGUCGAACGCUGAAGCUCAGCUUGCUGGGUGGAUGAGUGGCGAACGGGUGAGUAACACGUGAGUAACCUGCCCUCUUCUUUGGGAUAACGCCCGGAAACGGGUGCUAAUACUGGAUAUUCACUGAUUCUCGCAUGGGGGUUGGUGGAAAGGUUUUUUCUGGUGGGGGAUGGGCUCGCGGCCUAUCAGCUUGUUGGUGGGGUGAUGGCCUACCAAGGCUUUGACGGGUAGCCGGCCUGAGAGGGUGACCGGUCACAUUGGGACUGAGAUACGGCCCAGACUCCUACGGGAGGCAGCAGUGGGGAAUAUUGUACAAUGGGCGAAAGCCUGAUGCAGCGACGCCGCGUGAGGGAUGGAGGCCUUCGGGUUGUAAACCUCUUUCGCUCAUGGUCAAGCCGCAGCUUUGGGUUGUGGUGAGGGUAGUGGGUAAAGAAGCGCCGGCUAACUACGUG
rnacentral:rRNA from 1 species